CUGUUUUAACAUCAAAUAAUCCCAGGAAGGUUGUGAUGAAGGAAAACAUAGAAGAUGGCAUAGAAAGGAAGAACAUGAAAGGAGAAGCAAGUAGUUGAGAUUCAAGAAAGCUUAUUAAAUUGUUUUCGAGUAAUUAUAUUGAUCUCAUCGAUUGCUCAUGAUUUUCUGUGCUUUUGUCAUCUGGAUGUUGCUUCUCUAGACUUGAACUUGUUUUACUGGAACAGUACAUCUUGGUAAAUUGUUGGCCUGGAACAGUACAUCUUGGAGCUUAUGAUGAAGAAAAAUCUGCAGCAAGAGCAUAUGAUU
rnacentral:misc_RNA from 1 species